CGUUCCCAGGCCUUGUACACACCGCCCGUCACAUCAUGAAAGCCGCUUGUACCCGAAGUCGCGCCUUAAAACGUGCCGAAGGUAUGGGUGGUGAUUGGGAUG
rnacentral:rRNA from 1 species